UCAAAAGUCAAAACAGCAGCCUGUCACCGAAGCUGCUCCUCUGCCUGAAGAUGGCGCCGUGCACUGGACGUUCCCACGGAAGCUUGCCAAGCGUCGUCCUCCGUUCUGCCACAGAUGGCACGAUGGCCAGCUCUGUGCCAACGCAACCACAGAUAGGUAGCGGCAAUAGCCGCCCGCUUCGGCCGGCGCUGGCCAACCACGGAUGACCCGCUCGCGUUGGCACGCGAGCGCCGCGUCACAAGCGGCGCUGCUGACGGCUCGGCAAUCGCAGUGCCUCGUGGCCAAAGCGCACAGCGGCAGGAUUUGCUGAAUAUCGCAACAACUCACAUAUACUGCAUGUGCUUUUAUUCUGGAGUGUUGUACAAAAACACAUUUGCAACUACUAACCUAAUUGCAUGGAACUAAAGUCAUCAAUCAUCAAGCACCUUUGUUUUUUGUUGUGACUUUUAGGGCGUAAUAAAUGAGCUUUUCUUCAUCA